rnacentral:lncRNA from 1 species
CCCAGAGUCUCCUGUGCCAUGUAUGGGAUUCCAACCCAGGAUGGUCCUGUUUGAGGGCUCACUGGCCAUUCUACGCUGUUCCAAAAUGGCAAGUUUUUCUUUGGGGGCCCUUGGUGUUGUCUGCGGUUCCAGAAUCCGCAGAUACUUCUUGUGAGCCCUGUAAGCUCACACGCUAUCGCACCAGCAGGUGGCGCUGUCUACAGCCCCCAAACCCCUGUAUCUGUUGGCCGGAUGGGUCCCUCUGUUCUCCCCUGAGGCCCUUGUCAGAUCUGAGAUCUAGUUAUGUUUGGAGCUCCCUGAGAACACUGUGCCACCUGUGUGUGACUUUUCUCUGUAUCCAUUUAUGACUUUUAUUUGUUUGAGACAGGGUCUCACUAUGUAGUUCAGGCUGGCCCCCAACCUGUGACAAUCCUCCUGCCUCAGCCUCCUGAAUCCUGGGGAUUACAAAGGUGCACCAUCAGACCAGGCAUUUUCCAUUUUUGAGAGAAGAUUUUACUAUGUAACCCAGGCUGUCCUCGAGCUUGCCUCAGCCAUCCCUCGGGUCCCUCUGGGAUCUAUGUCCCAGAUGAAUUGUUGGGUAGGGUAGGGAUGGUGUGUUCGGUGAAUCUUAUAGGUUGGACCCUCCCUUCUGGGGUCUUUUGAUUAUAUGGGAAGUUCUCUAGGCUCUUAGCAGCCCUGCAUUCACACACUGAUGGUCCCGUUUGAAGUGUGAUCUGUGUAUGGUGUUUGAGGGUCAUACUGGCACUUGGCCAGUUUGGGAUGUGGGGCAGAGGUAUGGCUGUGACAAGGCUUCGGUUUUUGAGAUUGGGUCUCAUGUAUCUCAGUCUGGCCUUGAACUCCCUAUAUAGCUGAGGAUGACCUUGAACCCUUGCCUCAGCCAGAAUGCUCAGAUUCCAGGCAGCACUAUAUUACUAUUUCCCUUUUCUUACGUCAAGGUCUGUCUAUGUAGCCCAGGCUAGCUUUAAUCUCAUAACACUCUUCCUGCCUCUGUGACUGGAAAGCUAGGGCUACGGACAUGUUUUACCACACUGGUUUAGCCAAGCAUACCCCUGUUUUAUCACCCUUGCCAUGGCUAAACAGACUUCUAGAGCUGGUCACCCCCCACCCACAAGGCAGGCAAAUUAAGUCCCUGCAGGUGUUUUCUUCAGAGGAAAGCCCCCUUUUACAGUCAUCUUUCAAACUAGAGAGCAUUCCCACAAUCCAGAUAUCUGAAUGUGAAUUUUUGGACAACUGGUAACCUCUGGCCAGCUUUUCUGGAGCCAGCCUUUGUCCAGAUGUUGGCUCAGGACCCUGCUCAGUGCCUGCCUGUCUCACACCAGUGACUUCUCACAACUGCCCGUCCGGGCCCAGUGUUUUACCUGCUGCAGGUCAAGCAGACUCAAACUGUGGGCUUCUCUUGGGCCUCCAUGGCAGAAUCAGAACUCAGAGUUUUGAAGCCUGAGUGAGCUGGGCCACCAUGAAGAGGCCCUUAAAACUCUGCCACCCAGAUGGGCAGCACCUCAGUGGGUGGCCAGGGGGCAGGAAAGGAUCAUGGAAGAUCCAGAUGUUCAUGUGGUUAAGGUUAAACUGGUACCAAAUAAAAUUAUUUCUUAAAACCCAACAUCAUCAAUCUACAUGCAUAAUAAAGCCCUACAUCAAAAUUCA